rnacentral:rRNA from 1 species
AUUGAACGCUGGCGGCAUGCCUUACACAUGCAAGUCGAACGGUAACAGGUCUUCGGAUGCUGACGAGUGGCGAACGGGUGAGUAAUACAUCGGAACGUGCCCGAGAGUGGGGGAUAACGAAGCGAAAGCUUUGCUAAUACCGCAUACGAUCUCAGGAUGAAAGCAGGGGACCGCAAGGCCUUGCGCUCACGGAGCGGCCGCUGGCAGAUUAGGUAGUUGGUGGGAUAAAUGCUUACCAAGACGACGAUCUGUAGCUGGUCUGAGAGGACGACCGGCCACACUGGGACGGAGACACGGCACAGACGACUACGGUAGGCAGCAGUGGGGAAUGUUGGACAAUGGUCGCAAGCAUGAUCCAGCCAUGCCGCGUGCGGGAUGAAGGCCUUCGGGUUGUAAACUGCUUUUGUACGGAACGAAAAGACUCUGGUUAAUACCUGGGGUCCAUGACGGUACCGUAAGAAUAAGCACCGGCUAACUACGUGCCAGCAGCCGCGGUAACAC